UACGUAGGGAGCAAGCGUUGUCCGGAAUCAUUGGGCGUAAAGCGCGCGUAGGCGGCCCUGUAAGUCCGUUGUGAAAGUCAAAGGCUCAACCUUUGAAAGCCGAUGGAUACUGCAGGGCUAGAGUCCGGAAGAGGCGAGUGGAAUUCCUGGUGUAGCGGUGGAAUGCGCAGAUAUCAGGAGGAACACCAAUAGCGAAGGCAGCUCGCUGGGACGGUACUGACGCUGAGGCACGAAGGUCAGGGGAGCAAACGGG
rnacentral:rRNA from 1 species